CCCCCCCGCUGCACCCGCGGGAGCGGCGAGGGAUGUGGGACUGCGCUCAGUUUCCCGUCUUCCUGUGCCUCUUUCCCGACCUGUUCGAGCACAGGCUCCAAUUUUAGAGGCUGUGGAAGAGAGAGUUUAGCCCAGGCCUGUUAGCAGGGCCUUUACCUGGCACGGGCUCUUGCCAGUUGUGGCUAAGGGUGAGUGCGCGGGAGGUCUCGCCGGCCGCCCUGCCCAGUGCUCACUCACUGGCUGUGCGCUAUUGGCUGAAACCCUGAGCGCCAGGGCUGACCUCGGUGACUUAGAUCCUGUGAGCCUGUGAAAGCCCUGAGCUGUCCUGACCCCCAAGACGCAACUCCGGAGGGAAGAUUUCUCCAUGUCAGGCUGAGAUCAGAUUUGUCCGCUUUUACCAAGAGCUUGUCGACAAAGGCUUUGACAGACACACGGUUGGCCUGUGCGCUUCGCCACUAGAUUUAGACACCGUGGAGGUAGGACAAGUCAGCUUCCUACAGCUGAAACAGACAGAUGCAUACAGCAAACGUGGCAGGCAGUGGCUUUUUUAUUUGAUUAUCUUAUGCAUAGAUUAUUGUUGGCAGAAGGGACCUUAUGCCACCUAGACCCACUUCCCCCUGCAUGAAGGAAGUCUUGCAGCCUCUUCCUGGAUAUUUAAAUCAAAGCAGAUACUCAGUUUCCACAGAGCUGGACAGGAAUGACUUUCAUCUGCUCCAUAUGGCAUCCACAGAGAUGGCUCAAACUGAGACUGGACAAUCCACUUUCAGUACGGAUCACUCACAUGGCUGGCAAGUUAAUGCUGGCUGUCGGUUGGCAGUUUGGCUGGUCUGGGGUCUGGGAGCAAGGGGCCUUGCUUCUUCCCCAAGUGGGCUUCUCAGAUUCUUGGGCUUCUUCACUGGACAAUGGCAGAGUUCCCAGAACAAAUGUCCCAAGAGAUCCAAACCAAAGGCACUUUCAUGCUCUGUCCUUGGAAAUCACACAAUAUAGUUUCCACUGUUGCUUAUUAGUUGAGGGAAUCCCAAAGUUUCACUCAGAUUAAGAGGAGGAGGACAGGGCGCCUGGGUGGC